rnacentral:rRNA from 1 species
UACGAAGGGUGCAAGCGUUACUCGGAAUUACUGGGCGUAAAGCGUGCGUAGGCGGUUCGUUAAGUCCGUUGUGAAAGCCCUGGGCUCAACCUGGGAAUUGCAGUGGAUACUGGCGAGCUAGAGUACGGUAGAGGAUGGUGGAAUUCCCGGUGUAGCGGUGAAAUUCGUAGAUAUUGGGAGGAACACCGGUGGCGAAGGCGGCUACCUGGACCGGUUCUGACGCUGAUGCGCGAAAGCGUGGGUAGCAAACAGG